GUCCCCGUAGCUCAGCUGGAUAGAGCGCCAGCUUGCGGAGCUGGAGGUCGCAGGUUCAAAUCCUGUCGGGGACG
rnacentral:tRNA from 1 species